AUUGAACGCUGGCGGCAUGCCUUACACAUGCAAGUCGAACGGUAACAGGUCUUCGGACGCUGACGAGUGGCGAACGGGUGAGUAAUACAUCGGAACGUGCCCAGUCGUGGGGGAUAACUACUCGAAAGAGUAGCUAAUACCGCAUACGAUCUGAGGAUGAAAGCGGGGGACCUUCGGGCCUCGCGCGAUUGUAGCGGCCGAUGGCAGAUUAGGUAGUUGGUGGGGUAAAAGCUUACCAAGCCGACGAUCUGUAGCUGGUCUGAGAGGACGACCAGCCACACUGGGACUGAGACACGGCCCAGACUCCUACGGGAGGCAGCAGUGGGGAAUUUUGGACAAUGGGCGAAAGCCUGAUCCAGCAAUGCCGCGUGCAGGAUGAAGGCCUUCGGGUUGUAAACUGCUUUUGUACGGAACGAAAAAGCUCCUUCUAACACAGGGGGCCCAUGACGGUACCGUAAGAAUAAGCACCGGCUAACUACGUGCCAGCAGCCGCGGUAA
rnacentral:rRNA from 1 species